GGCCGUGUGGCGAAAUGGCAUCGCGUCUGACUACGACCAGAAUAUAUCAUGAGGCGUCAUCAGGAGAUUGCAGGUUCGACCCCUGUCUCGGUCA